GCCUUGCUAAUAUUCACAUUUAUAGCCGCUUCAGCUUGGUUGAUAAUGCUGUUUCCUAAAAGAUGGUUCAUUUUAACAGUGCUUUUUAAGGAAGAAAUCCUAGUUUAAUAAUCUGAGAUUGUGUUUUUUUCUCACAGAACUCAUGUGCAUUUAGUUUGUAUCAUGAUCAGUGUAUCGAUUUGGUCCAUCCACAGCUUUCUUUGUUGGGCAACAGUCGUUGUAACGAACGUCAGAUAUGGCAUGAUAUUUCAAGGAAGUUUAACUUGAGCAAUUACUGAUUUCAUCCAGACUCCAGAGCCUCUGUUUGUCAAGAAGGAAGAACACGAGUGUCAUGGCAAUGCCGAUGACACGGGUCAUAUCCUGGUGGUCGUGGUAACUCUCCAUCUUCCCAGAGAGGCUGUGACUGAGUGGCACAGUUUGCAUUAUUGCAGGGGCCAGCGAACUACUUAGAAGGAAGCACUCUACUUUGAGUGAAGAUAUUUGAGGGCUUUCAAGUUGAAUGUGAAGCUGUGGCACCCAGUUCUGCAUCCAGGACACCGAAGUCCAUUUCCUUAAAAUGGACAUCACCUUCUACUUCCUCACCUGAUUUAAACAGGAUUUUAGAAGACCCGAUGACUGUGUUUCCACAAGCAAGAAGACUCUGAAGACAGCCAAGCCGCACCACUGCGUUUUAGAAGAUUCUACAAAAAGACAGCCUUCAUGACGAAGUACCAGAGGCAGAUACAAUGCUCAAGAGAAACUUUUGCGAAGAGGUGCCAUUUGAACAAAGACCUGGAUAAAGUGAGGAAGUGAACACUGCAAUGUUCUGGGAGAAGAGUGUUUCAGAAGGAACGACUGCUACAAAGUCCCCAAGGUAAGACCAAGAUCGGCAUAUUUAGAAGCAGCAAAGAUAGCCAGAGCAAAAUAAAUAAACACGAAAUUGGACGGGAAAUAGGGUGGAGAUACAAACAGUGGCUGGAUUAUGGAGGACCUUGAGGUCACACUUAGGUCAUUAGACUUCAUUCUGAAUGUCCUGGAGUACCACAGAAGUUUCAAGGCAGAGGAAGUGACAUU